rnacentral:rRNA from 1 species
UACAGAGGUGCCAAGCGUUAGGCGGAAUCACUGGGCUUAAAGCGCGUGUAGGUGGGUCGUUAAGUGUCCGCGUGAAAUCCCACGGCUCAACCGUGGAACUGCCGGGCAUACUGGCGAUCUUGAGGCAUUCAGGGGCGAGCGGAACAAAUGGUGGAGCGGUGAAAUGCGUAGAUAUCGUCUGGAACGCCAAAGGUGAAAACAGCUCGCUGGGGUUGUGCUGACGCUGAGACACGAAAGCCAGGGGAGCGAACGGG